UUUAUUUUGCUAGGAGAGAGCCGCACCCGUGACACGGGCCGUCGGCCGCCGAAGGCGCAGAAGCGGUGUGAGCGCACCGCCUCGAACGCUCAGGCAAAAGGACUGGCAAACGUUC
rnacentral:ncRNA from 2 species